AGAGUUUGAUCAUGGCUCAGAACGAACGCUGGCGGCGUGCCUGAGACAUGCAAGUCGUGGGAGAAAGUCGUAGCAAUACGGCUAGUAAACCGGCGCACGGGUGAGUAACACGUGGACAACCUGCCUUAGAGUCUGGGAUAACCCGUCGAAAGACGAGCUAAUACCGGAUAAGACCACGGGAAGUUCGCUUCCUGAGGUAAAAGAUGGCCUCUGCUCCUGCAAGCUAUCACUUUGAGAGGGGUCCGCGCCCUAUCAGCUAGUUGGCGAGGUAACGGCUCACCAAGGCUAAGACGGGUAGCUGGUCUGAGAGGAUGGUCAGCCACACUGGGACUGAGACACGGCCCAGAGUCCUACGGGAUGCAGCAGUCAGGAAUAUUGCGCAAUGGAGGAAACUCUGACGCAGCGACGCCGCGUGGGUGAUGAAGGCCUUCGGGUCGUAAAGCCCUGUCGGAGGGGAAGAAAAGUUGACUGGCUAAUAUCCAGUUGACCUUUGACGGUACCCUCAAAGGAAGCACCCGCUAACUCCGUGCCAGCAGCCGCGGUAAGACGGAGGGUGCAAGCGUUGUUCGGAUUGACUGGGCGUAAAGGGCGUGUAGGCGGUUUGUCAAGUCGGGUGUGAAAGCCUGGGGCUCAGCCCCAGAAGUGCAUCCGAAACUAGCGAGCUAGAGCGCGAUAGAGGAGGGUGGAAUUUCCUGGUGUAGCGGUGAAAUGCGUAGAUAUCAGAGGAACACCGGCGGCGAAGCGGCCUCUGGAUCGUUGCUGACGCUGAGACGCGAAAGCGUGGGAGCAAACAGAUUAGAUACCCUGGUAGUCACGCCUAGACGAUGGGUACUAGUGUUCGGGUGUGACCCCUGAGUGCGCAGUUACGCAUUAAGUACCCCGCCUGGGAC
rnacentral:rRNA from 1 species